AACUAAGCAUAUCAAUAAGCGGAGGAAAAGAAACCAACUGGGAUUGCCUCAGUAACGGCGAGUGAAGCGGCAGAAGCUCAAAUUUGAAAUCUGGCCCCUCUGGGGGUCCGAGUUGUAAUUUGCAGAGGACACUUCGGGUGCGGCCGCGGUCUAAGUCCCCUGGAACGGGGCGUCGGAGAGGGUGAGAAUCCCGUCUGGGACCGUGGACCUGCCCCGUGUGAAGUUCCUUCGACGAGUCGAGUUGUUUGGGAAUGCAGCUCUAAGUGGGUGGUAAAUUUCAUCUAAAGCUAAAUACUGGCGGGAGACCGAUAGCGCACAAGUAGAGUGAUCGAAAGGUUAAAAGCACCUUGAAAAGGGAGUUAAACAGCACGUGAAAUUGUUGAAAGGGAAGCGCUGGCAGCCAGACAGGAACCCGGGGGCUCAGCGGGCAUGCGUGCCCGUGCACUCCCCCGCGGUUCCGGCCAGCAUCAGUUUCGGCGGCCGGUCAAAGGCCCCGGGAAGGUAUCGUCCUCCGGGACGACUUACAGCCCGGGGUGCAAUGCGGCCAGUCGGGACUGAGGAACGCGCUCCGGCACGGAUGCUGGCGUAAUGGCUGUCAGCGGCCCGUCUUGAAACACGGACCAAGGAGUCUAACAACCACGCGAGUGUUCGGGUGUCAAACCCGUGCGCGCAGUGAAAGCGAACGGAGGUGGGAGCCCCCCGUGGGUGCACCAUCGACCGAUCCUGAUGUCUUCGGAUGGAUUUGAGUAGGAGCGUGGCUGUUGGGACCCGAAAGAUGGUGAACUAUGCCUGAAUAGGGUGAAGCCAGAGGAAACUCUGGUGGAGGCUCGCAGCGGUUCUGACGUGCAAAUCGAUCGUCAAAUU
rnacentral:rRNA from 1 species